rnacentral:rRNA from 2 species
CGACGACGUUGAUAGGUCGGGUGUGUAAGCGCAGCGAUGCGUUGAGCUAACCGAUACUAAUGAACCGUGAGGCUUAACCUUACAACGCCGAAG